rnacentral:rRNA from 1 species
GACGAACGCUGGCGGCGUGCUUAACACAUGCAAGUCGAACGAAGAGCGAUGGAAGCUUGCUUCUAUCAAUCUUAGUGGCGAACGGGUGAGUAACGCGUAAUCAACCUGCCCUUCAGAGGGGGACAACAGUUGGAAACGACUGCUAAUACCGCAUACGAUCUAAUCUCGGCAUCGAGGAUAGAUGAAAGGUGGCCUCUACAUGUAAGCUAUCACUGAAGGAGGGGAUUGCGUCUGAUUAGCUAGUUGGAGGGGUAACGGCCCACCAAGGCGAUGCGCACCAGCCGGGCUGAGAGGAGGAACGGCCACAUUGGGACUGAGACACGGCCCAGACUCCUACGGGAGGCAGCGGUGGGGAAUCUUCCGCAAUGGACGAAAGGCUGACGGAGCAACGCCGCGUGAGUGAUGACGGCCUUCGGGUUGUAAAGCUCUGUUAAUCGGGACGAAAGGCCUUCUUGCGAAUAGUGAGAAGGAUUGACGGUACCGGAAUAGAAAGCCACGGCUAACUACGUG